GCCUGGGUGGCUCAGUUGGUUGAGCAUCUGACUUUAGCUCAGGUCAUGAUCUCACAGCUCGUAAGUUCAAGCCCUGCGUUGGGCU
rfam:Felis catus isolate Cinnamon breed Abyssinian chromosome F1, whole genome shotgun sequence.